rnacentral:rRNA from 1 species
GACGAACGCUGGCGGCGUGCUUAACACAUGCAAGUCGAACGAUGAACCCGGAGCUUGCUCCGGUGGAUUAGUGGCGAACGGGUGAGUAACACGUGAGUAACCUGCCCUUGACUCUGGAUAACUGCGGGAAACUGUAGCUAAUACCGGAUACUUUCACCGGGGGGCAUCCUCUGGUGAUGAAAGAAUUUCGGUCAAGGAUGAGCUCGCGGCCUAUCAGCUUGUUGGUGAGGUAACGGCUCACCAAGGCGACGACGGGUAACCGGCCUGAGAGGGUGACCGGUCACACUGGGACUGAGACACGGCCCAGACUCCUACGGGAGGCAGCAGUGGGGAAUAUUGCACAAUGGGCGCAAGCCUGAUGCAGCAACGCCGCGUGAGGGAUGAAGGCCUUCGGGUUGUAAACCUCUUUUAGCAGGGAAGAAGCGAAAGUGACGGUACCUGCAGAAAAAGCACCGGCUAACUACGUGCCAGCCGCCGCCGUAA